ensembl:lncRNA
CUCAGAAAGUCCUUCCAGAAUUCUUUGCUCUCCCCCCACCUUCCACUGCUCUGCUUUGUGUAAAUCCUGCUUGCUGUAUUCCCAGGGAAACUCCAAUGGAAUUAAGUUUUGUAGGUGUAAAAAGAGGUAUGCAAAGAAGAGCAAACUUGUACUUGGGCCUCUCGAGAUUGACAGGAGUCACUCACUGAGCUACCAGCAUUAAAAGCCACUUUUUGAUCCUAUCUUCAUGUUAAGAGUGGUCUGUCUGGGAUCUUCACAGUUUCUUGCUUCAUCUGGACUACUUCUGCACAGGAUGGUAAAGUGCCUAGAGCAAUGUAGGCGGUCAAAAAACUGCAGUUGCCAAUCAUCAGUAUCAUAACACUGUGAAAAACAGAAUGUGAGCUCCUCAGAAGAGAUUGUGUGUGUGUCAAAACAAGGAAAAGGUGCUGAGGUUGCUGGCCAUGGCAAUCUACAACCCCAGGAGGGGUGUGCAAAAGCACUGAGGAGACAAUGUUCUAAGAGAAUAUAUAAUCGCUUGGGCAAGAGUGAGAACGCGUGUUCCUGUGUGGCCCACACCCUGAGAAAGAUUGACGACCUGUUAUGGGAUCUCGGGGCCGAGUCGGGCAGUGCCUCUGCAGCUUGCACCUGAACAGCAGGAAAAGUGAUCAAAGAGGAAGUGGAGUUCAGCACUCAGAUUUACACCACUCCAAGCUGCCCCCACGAGGGCUUCCUGUGAUAUUUCUGACACCAUUUCGGAAGAUCUUCCUGAAUAUCCAUGGAGGCAGGUAGCCUGGAAGGAUUAAAAGGGAGAAGCUUCUCCCUCAUGGGGCUGCUGCAUCUGCUGCUUCUGCUGCUUCGCUGCUUCACUGCUUGCUGUUUUGCUGUCUUCUGCCUGCCAUGGACUGUUUCCCCUCUGCAAUGUCCCUCUGCCAGGCCACCCUGCCUGGGAACCAGCUGACUAUGGACUCAGACCUCUACAAACUGUGAGCCAAAAUAAAUCUUU